CAUGUGGAGCGCUUAGAAGUGAGAAUGCCGGUGUGAGUAGCGAAAGACGGGUGAGAAUCCCGUCCACCGAUUGACUAAGGUUUCCAGAGGAAGGCUCGUCCGCUCUGGGUUAGUCGGGUCCUAAGCUGAGGCCGACAGGCGUAGGCGAUGGAUAACAGGUUGAUAUUCCUGUACCACCUAUAAUCGUUUUAAUCGAUGGGGGGACGCAGUAGGAUAGGCGAAGCGUGCGAUUGGAUUGCACGUCUAAGCAGUAAGGCUGAGUAUUAGGCAAAUCCGGUACUCGUUAAGGCUGAGC
rnacentral:rRNA from 1 species